UGGAAAGCCCCCCAAUCAAAAAGACCGGCGAAUUUGUCUGUACAUACUAUUGGGAGUGAUGGGAUGGUCGCGGCCUUGCUGCAUAUAGCUUUCCAUUAUCUCCUUGCGAUUAGAUGUGCACGGAUUGGAUCCUUGGGGUGACGUGCACGUUUACUCGCCAAGCAAUGAACCCCGGCGCAAGACGCGCCAAGGAAAAUUGAAUGAGACUGCAUGCCCUUAACUCGUUUGUGGGUGGCGUAGGCAUAUGCAAUCUUCUGUACAACUGAAUGACUCUCGGCAACGGAUAUCUCGGCUCUUGCAUCGAUGAAGAACGUAGCGAAAUGCGAUACUUGGUGUGAAUUGCAGAAUCCCGUGAACCAUCGAGUCUUUGAACGCAAGUUGCGCUCGAAGCCAGUAGGCUGAAGGCACGUCUGCCUGGGCGUCACGCAUUGUGUCACCCGCUCCCCUCUGCGUAAGCGUGCAUGUCGGGAUGUGGGAGGAUGUUUGGCCCCCCGUUUGCGCUUGGUGGUCGGUCGGCCUAAAAGGGAGUCCCCAAGGACGGACAUCACGACAAGUGGUGGUUGCAAAAUCGUCGCGUCAUGUCUGUGGAUGCCAUUGUUGGUUGCGGGU
rnacentral:rRNA from 1 species